AUACGUAGGUGGCGAGCGUUGUCCGGAAUUACUGGGUGUAAAGGGCGUGUAGGCGGGGAUGCAAGUCAGAUGUGAAAUACUAAGGCUUAACCUUGGGGCUGCAUCUGAAACUGUGUUUCUUGAGUGUCGGAGAGGAAAGCGGAAUUCCCAGUGUAGCGGUGAAAUGCGUAGAGAUUGGGAGGAACACCAGUGGCGAAGGCGGCUUUCUGGACGACAACUGACGCUGAGGCGCGAAAGCGUGGGGAGCAAACAGGAUUAGAUACCCUGGUAGUCCACGCCGUAAACGAUGGAUACUAGGUGUAGGAGGUAUCGACCCCUUCUGUGCCGGAGUUAACACAAUAAGUAUCCCACCUGGGGAGUACGGCCGCAAGGUUGAA
rnacentral:rRNA from 1 species